rnacentral:rRNA from 1 species
AUUGAACGCUGGCGGCAGGCCUAACACAUGCAAGUCGAACGAGUGGCGGACGGGUGAGUAAUGUCUGGGAAACUGCCUGAUGGAGGGGGAUCACUACUGGAAACGGUAGCUAAUACCGCAUACCAUCAGAUUUGCCCAGAUGGGAUUAGCUUGUUGGUGGGGUAACGGCUCACCAAGGCGACGAUCCCUAGCUGGUCUGCGAGGAUGACCAGCCACACUGGAACGGGGACACGGUCCAGACUCCUCCGGGAGGCAGAAGUGGGAAAUAUUGCACAAUGAGCGAAAGCCGGAUGCAGCCAUGCCGCGGGUAGGAAGAAGGCCUUCGGGUUGUAAAGUACGUUCAGCGGGGAGGCGUUACCCGAAGAAGAAGCACCGGCUAACUCCGUGCCAGCCGCCGCGGUAAUUC